AUUGAACGCUGGCGGCAGGCCUAACACAUGCAAGUCGAACGAGUGGCGGACGGGUGAGUAAUGUCUGGGAAACUGCCUGAUGGAGGGGGCUAACUACUGGAAACGGUAGCUAAUACAGCAUACCAUCGGAUGUGCCCAGAUGGGAUUAGCUAGUAGGUGGGGUAAAGGCUCACCUAGGCGACGAUCCCUAGCUGGUCUGAGAGGAUGACCAUCCACCCUGGAACUGAGACACGGUCCAGACUCCUACGGGAGGCAGCAGUGGGGAAUAUUGCACAAUGGGCGCAAGCCUGAUGCAGCCAUGCCGCUGGUAUGAAGAAGGCCGUCAGGUUGUAAAGUACUUUCAGCGGGGAGGCGUUACCCGCAGAAGAAGCACCGGCUAACUCCGUGCCAGCAGCCGCGGUAAUUC
rnacentral:rRNA from 1 species